rnacentral:rRNA from 1 species
AUUGAACGCUGGCGGCAUGCUUUACACAUGCAAGUCGGACGGCAGCACAGAGAAGCUUGCUUCUUGGGUGGCGAGUGGCGAACGGGUGAGUAACAUAUCGGAACGUACCGAGCAGUGGGGGAUAACUAAUCGAAAGAUUAGCUAAUACCGCAUAUCUUCUGAGGAAGAAAGCAGGGGACCAUUUGGCCUUGCGCUGUUUGAGCGGCCGAUAUCUGAUUAGCUAGUUGGUGGGGUAAAGGCCUACCAAGGCGACGAUCAGUAGCGGGUCUGAGAGGAUGAUCCGCCACACUGGGACUGAGACACGGCCCAGACUCCUACGGGAGGCAGCAGUGGGGAAUUUUGGACAAUGGGCGCAAGCCUGAUCCAGCCAUGCCGCGUGUCUGAAGAAGGCCUUCGGGUUGUAAAGGACUUUUGUCAGGGAAGAAAAGGGCGGGGUUAAUACCCCUGUCUGAUGACGGUACCUGAAAAAUAAGCACCGGCU